CGACCGGCGCACGGGUGAGUAACACGUAUGCAACCUGGCCGUGACAGAUGGAUAACCGGGAGAAAUCCCGCCUAAUACAGCAUGACGCCGGGAAGGGACAUCCCUUUCCGGCCAAAGGGGGCGACUCCGGUCACGGAUGGGCAUGCGGCGCAUUAGGUAGUUGGUGGGGCAACGGCUCACCAAGCCGACGAUGCGUAGGGGUUCUGAGAGGAAGGUCCCCCACAUUGGAACUGAGACACGGUCCAAACUCCUACGGAAGGCAGCAG
rnacentral:rRNA from 1 species